ACCCCCCCUCAAAACAGCAGCCUUGCAGAUUAUCUUCAAGAAAAUUCAAAACCCCUUUUAGACUCACCUUCUGCUAGGGAUUCGCCUCUGCUUUGAGAUGCCGCGCACGAGGGUCAUCGGCGCUUCUGCGCCUCCACCUCUGACGCCGAACCACAGGGUAAGGCCAGGUACGUGCUAGGUGUGGACUCUGACGUGGAGGUGGAGUGGUGCACGAUGGGAAGAGUCGCGUGACGUGCGGUGCCUGGGGACUGCCUCGGUUGCAAAUAAUGGCUCCUAGAGUUUUUUUUUUGCAAUCUGUUUGUGUUUUUGGGCUGUUUGGGCCAUGUUUGUAAAUGGGUACUUAGGUUUAGGUCUGCUUAGCUUCUAGUAGUUUGGGCCGGGCAAAUUUUGGGCCCUACAGCUGCCCUUCUUUGCUCAUUGUCGUAUAAUGAUAACGGAGUAAAGACUUCAAAAGGGAACAAAAUUGCCUGGACUUGUUGAGUCUUGGUGCCCUACACCCAUUAGAGAUUAGAACUCAUAACACAUUUAGAGAAUUUUGUGUUUACGUUUUGAGGGUUCUUUGUUUUUGGGUUUUCAGGGUUUAGUUUUUUUUUAUCUCUAUCUUUUGUACUCUUCGUUAUUUUGUCAUUAUAGUAAAAUUAUCUUUGCCCGUGGUUUUUAUCCUCUUUGGAGGAGUUUUUCCACGUUAAAUUUGUGUGUUCAAUUUCUUAAUUUAUUCUGUUAUUUUUA